rnacentral:rRNA from 1 species
GACGAACGCUGGCGGCGUGCUUAACACAUGCAAGUCGAACGGAAAGGCCCUGCUUUUGUGGGGUGCUCGAGUGGCGAACGGGUGAGUAACACGUGAGUAACCUGCCCUUGACUUUGGGAUAACUUCAGGAAACUGGGGCUAAUACCGGAUAGGAGCUCCUGCUGCAUGGUGGGGGUUGGAAAGUUUCGGCGGUUGGGGAUGGACUCGCGGCUUAUCAGCUUGUUGGUGGGGUAGUGGCUUACCAAGGCUUUGACGGGUAGCCGGCCUGAGAGGGUGACCGGCCACAUUGGGACUGAGAUACGGCCCAGACUCCUACGGGAGGCCGCAGUGGGGAAUCUUGCACCAUGGGCGGAAGCCUGAUGCAGCAACGCCGCGUGCGGGAUGACGGCCUUCGGGUUGUAAACCGCUUUCGCCUGUGACGAAGCGUGAGUGACGGUAAUGGGUAAAGAAGCACCGGCUAACUACGUG